AGGAUGAAGGCCGGGGACAGUUGGAGGGGGUCCCAUCGCCCUGUGUCCUGAAGGCUGUCGUGAGGGAGAUGAGCCGCAGAGACCGUUCAUGAGCCACAUCCAUGAAGGUCAUCAGACAGCCUUCGAUUUCUUCCCAAAGUGCACAUGAUCUAUGGACCCCUGGACCCCGUCAACCCUCAUCAGCAGUUCAUCCGUCUUCACUAGUUACAUUACAUGAAGAGGGUUUUAGGGAGUUCCUGGUGAUGUUGAUGACUAUGCCAGCUCAUAACAAUGACGUAUUUGGAGCUUGGUCACCUACAAAGUGGAAGUACUAACAGGGCUGCAGUUUACCUCGCACGCUGAGGCAAGUCUGCUUCCUGCUGGACCCAUCAGGAUACACGUUGAACGAGCAGAUGUAGCAGCUCUCGUCUUGCCACGACACAUUCCUCAGAGUGAUGGAGGUGGAGUUGAGGGACGCUUGCGUGAGGGCCACCUUCCCACGGAAGGGAAACGCAUCGGGGGCACAUUGUUGCUGGAAUCUUGUGCGACGACUGUACAGUCCUGGUGGGAUGGGUCUUCCCUGCAUUUUUCACUGGAUACAUCACAGCACAAAAGGAACAGCCCUGCAAUACGCUGGUGAAGGUGUGACCAGCAUCUCGCCCAAUGUCAGCAGGGAUUGGCCCCGGCCCCCCCACGACCCCCAGCGUAUAAGUGGUAUAGAUAAUGGAAUGAUGGGAAUAUUACAUUAUCUCAUGCCAUUGAACCCAUAUAAAUGGAAGAAUCAUGAAAGUGUGGAUGGACUGCAUUAUGUAACACAUGAAGUGAUGCAGAAUUGUUAAAUUAUGAAUUACAUUUGGAAAGUACCCACGCUACCCGGCACCUGACACCUGGAUGCAUCACUGAAUAGCUUACAUGGAGGUUUGUGGUUAAACAACGUGCCAACAUUGUGGCUCCAACCCCAUUAACUAGAUUUAACCAGAAAGAAUGUAAGUCACAAUGUACCUCUAUGCAACAUUUGUAGAUAGUCACAUAUUGCCAGUUUGUUGCAAAACAACUUCAGUCUCCUGUUUGUAAAGUUCAUUUUCUUUUAAAUGUUUACAUUUUGUAAUUAAUGCUCUUUACAUUGUUUCUCAGCUUGUUUUGCUUGUUCUGCCAAAUCUUUGAUGCUUGAUUAGCUGCGGGUGAAAAUCACAGAGGAAAAAUUCAGAAUUUGCCUCGACACUCGAGACAGCUGACUCAUUUCUCCUUAACCCUUAAGUAAUCAGUUCUCUUCAUGAAAAUUCAACAAUACUUUCACUUCACCAGAACAUCUUGAACUAGUAGUUCCUCUGUGAUAAAAGAGAAAUUUAGCAGGGGGAUACCAGACAGAGAAAAACAAUAACAGAGGAGGAGGAUGAAAAUGAAAGAAAUAUUCUUCUAGUACUUAUUCAUACAAAAAAUAAUGUAAUACAAGUAUGUAAUACAAUGUAAUACAAAUAUUAUUUAUUAUGACUGUUAUAAAUAACAGAUGGUAACUGUCAAAGGGCAUCAGGCUAUAAUAAAUCUGACCAGUAAGGCAGACAUAGGUAUUCUAGUGAACAAUGCCACCUGGUGGUCAUCUGAAUGAUUACACCAGAUUCAUGUGUAUAUAGUAUAUUGUAUAUCAUUCAUGAUGUGGCCCAGAUUUUCAGAAAAUUAGAAAAGAAUACAGAAGUGAACAAAAACAUCUUUUCAAAACACCAGGGGCAUUAAUGCCAAUAAUAAAAAAAUCUCCCCCCCUCCUACUACUGUAUUAUUUGAAUUUCAAAAAUAGUCUUGACUUAGAUGAACGGUAAAUAAAACAUUUACAUUUUCCUGCAUCGAAAACAAAAGAUAAACAAGCAACAAAACCAGGACCGGAAAGGUGUAGGCUGAAAGCCUUAGCUUAUUACACCUACGCUUUUAAUUCACCUUUUAACAUGAAUUAAUUUGUCAGCUUCCUUUAAAUUAAACAGAGCAAUGAAAGAAACUAACAAAAAAAUAAGUAUAUUCUACAUUAGAGCCUUUUGUCCACCCAAAUAUCCCAAACACAUUUCACGUACACUCUGGUGGUCAUACUUCAGUCUACUGUUAUAGAUAAUACGCCUAUAAAUAUUAUCAUGUUAUGUUCUAGGAAAACAUGACAUGACAGGAGAUAUUAUCGAGUGAUAGCUCUACAAAGGCUUUCGUAAACAUGAGUAUUCAAUGGCGUUCUCUUGUAUUUUGGCGACAGAAUAAAGUCUGUUCUCUCUCUGCACGAA